AUAGCAAUUUAACAACAUUGUACGAUGGUAAUCCUAAAUAAGUUACAAAAGAUUAAGCAAAGUGAAAAAGUAAAAUCUAAAUGGAGCGAUAAAUGUGUGUGAGGAAUCCGAAUUAAAAUCCAGUGGAGGAAUAGUUGUAUGUAUAAGUAAAUUCGUUUUGAGAGAUAUGUGAAUCCAUGUGUAUGUGUGUGUUAAAAAAAGUGGAAUAAGUGAGC
rnacentral:lncRNA from 1 species